rnacentral:rRNA from 1 species
UACGUAGGGUGCGAGCGUUGUCCGGAAUUAUUGGGCGUAAAGAGCUCGUAGGCGGUGUGUCACGUCUGCCGUGAAAACCUCAGGCUUAACUUGGGGCGUGCGGUGGAUACGGGCAUCACUUGAGUUCGGUAGGGGAGACUGGAAUUCCUGGUGUAGCGGUGGAAUGCGCAGAUAUCAGGAGGAACACCGGUGGCGAAGGCGGGUCUCUGGGCCGAUACUGACGCUGAGGAGCGAAAGCGUGGGGAGCGAACAGGAUUAGAAACCCCCGUAGUCC